rnacentral:rRNA from 1 species
CCUACGGGAGGCAGCAGUGAGGAAUAUUGGACAAUGGGCGCAAGCCUGAUCCAGCCAUGCCGCGUGCAGGAAGACGGUCCUAUGGAUUGUAAACUGCUUUUAUACAGGAAGAAAUACUUUCUCGUGAGAGAGCUUGACGGUACUGUAAGAAUAAGGAUCGGCUAACUCCGUGCCAGCAGCCGCGGUAAUACGGAGGGUCCAAGCGUUAUCCGGAAUCAUUGGGUUUAAAGGGUCCGUAGGCGGUUUAAUAAGUCAGUGGUGAAAUCUGGUCGCUCAACGAUCAAACGGCCAUUGAUACUGUUAGACUUGAAUUAUUGUGAAGUAACUAGAAUAUGUAGUGUAGCGGUGAAAUGCUUAGAUAUUACAUGGAAUACCAAUUGCGAAGGCAGGUUACUAACAAUGGAUUGACGCUGAUGGACGAAAGCGUGGGGAGCGAACAGGAUUAGAUACCCUGGUAGUCCACGCCGUAAACGAUGGAUACUAGCUGUUGGGCGCAAGUUCAGUGGCUAAGCGAAAGUGAUAAGUAUCCCACCNCGGAGGUACGUUCGCGAGAAGUAGAACGACAAUAGAAGUUAGUACGGCGUGAGACGUUAGCCGACGGACGACGACGAGGGGAGGUUAGGG